UCGAGAAUCAUUCACAAUGGGCGAAAGCCUGAUGGUGCGACGCCGCGUGGGGGAUGAAGGUCUUCGGAUCGUAAACCCCUGUCAUCUGUGAGCAAUGUCUUUCAAUUAAUAGUUGAGAGAUUUGAUAGUAGCAGAAGAGGAAGGGACGGCUAACUCCGUGCCAGCAGCCGCGGUAAUACGGAGGUCCCAAGCGUUGUUCGGAUUCACUGGGCGUAAAGGGUGCGUAGGUGGCUGGGAAAGUUUGAUGUGAAAGCUCCGGGCUCAACCCGGAAAAUGCAUUGAAUACUUCCUGGCUAGAGGAUCGGAGGGGAAAGUGGAAUUCUUGGUGUAGCAGUGAAAUGCAUAGAUAUCAAGAGGAACCUCAGUGGCGAAGGCGACUUUCUGGACGAUUCCUGACACUGAGGCACGAAGGCUAGGGGAGCAAACAGGAUUAGAUACCCUGGUAGUCCUAGCAGUAAACGGUGCGCGCUUGCUGUAGGCGGAUUCGACCCCGUCUGUGGCGUAGCUAACGCGUUAAGUGUCCCGCCUGGGGGAGUACGGCCGCAAGGCUAAAAACUUCAAAGGAAAUGACGGGAAGGGCGAAUCGCGCCGCUGACAC
rnacentral:rRNA from 1 species